GCUAGUAUAAUCCAUAUCGCUGCCCAUGGCGAACCAAAUCGAGGUGAAAUAAUGCUUGCGCCAAACUCUUCCCAGGUGCAACCAUGUUUGGCUGUUCCCAAGCCAGAGUCGUAUCUUCUCACACAGCGAGAUAUUCUAGAUAUUCCUGUGCAAGCUCGCUUGGUAGUUCUAUGCUGUUGCCAUACCAGGCAAGGUGAAAUUACUUCAGAAGGUGUCAUAGGUAUAACUCGAGCUUUUCUUGCAGCCGGAGCGCGCUGUGUUCUUGCUACACUAUGGCCGAUUGACGAUAGUGCCACAAAAGAGUUUAUGGAAAAAUUCUAUGGCGAACUUUGCCAGGAGACAAGAGUUUGUGAAGCUUUAAGAAGAACAGUGAACCUAUUUCAGAAACACGAAAUACAAUCUUACCGAUCCAGUCGGAUUUGGGGUCCAUUUACUAUCUAUGGAGAAGACACGAAGUUUCAUAAGAAUGAGAUUGAGCAAAUCAGA